UACGAAGGGGGCUAGCGUUGUUCGGAUUUACUGGGCGUAAAGCGCACGUAGGCGGAUCGUUAAGUCGGGGGUGAAAUCCUGGAGCUCAACUCCAGAACUGCCUUCGAUACUGGCGAUCUUGAGUCCGGAAAAGGUGAGUGGAACUCCUAGUGUAGAGGUGGAAUUCGUAGAUAUUAGGAAGAACACCAGUGGCGAAGGCGGCUCACUGGUCCGGUACUGACGCUGAGGUGCGAAAGCGUGGGGAGCAAACAGG
rnacentral:rRNA from 1 species